UUUUUCCCGCCUUCAUUGGCACAAAAUUUGUCUCUUUUGUGUAUUUCCCAAAUUUUCCUUUGCAUAGAAAUCCUGAAAUAAAGUUAUCUAUCUGUUAGGUAUCUGAUUUACUUGGUGGGAUAUGAGUGUAUUAGACAUAACCUGUGCUGAUGCUUGAAUAACACAUAAUAAUAUGAACAAUGUUUUUAACCAUUCUAUCAUGUUCUUGGGUAUUAAGGAGCUCCCUAGCAUUCUAAAAAGGAUUUGUCAUGUAAUACACUUGGGUUUAGUCGUAUUUGGUCGUUUUCAUCUGUUCCCUUCUCUUUUGUCUCAUAGCCACCUCUCAGCUCAAGAAAUUUUUGAGAAUUUACUUGGUAUGUUUUCUGGGCACAAGGCGAAUGUACAUGCCACGCAGAAUGUUAACUGAAGGGUGCUAAUUCGAAAGGAAAAGGCAGUUGCUGUGAGUGAUAAUGAAGGCAUUUGUAUGACGUAUAAACCUAAGGAAACACAUGUAGAAGGAUCUUAUGACAGUAGACUGAAUUGUGAUGAAAUAAGGGCUCAUGUCCAGGCGUUAAAAGAAGAAUUGGAUGAAUUAUCUAAGCUUGUGGGAUGUGGAUCUGCAACGGAAUCCAAGAUUCUCUUUUGUCAUAAGUGUGGGGAGGGCAUGAAAGGGGAAAGCGUGGCUCUUAAGGAGCUAUAACCAGAUGUAGACCUCACUAAAGACAAGGGGGAUAAUGACUCAAGGAUCGAAGCAGAAAGAAAUGGGACAUUGGUCUAACACAUGGGAGCCGAAUAUGAUGAACUUGGAGUCGGAGACACUGGGUUUGAUGGACAUGAUGCCAGCUGACGAAUUAUUAUCGGCUACGAAAGAGACGGGACAUACAUCAGUUGACGGUCGAGCCUUGACUGAAUCGAAAGAGCACGAGGAGACAUGUUCAAACACCUUGGUUCAGAACACAUAUAAUAGAAGGCAUUCGAAGCCCCUAAAAGAAAAGGAAUUAGGGACUGACAAAGCUCUUGUGUUGUGGGCAGAUGGCGCCAAGAACAGAGGAAUUGAUGGUGAUAUCGAACAGGUGGAGGAAGUAGAGGGAUACCCAUAUGACUUCUUAGAAUAUCAUCAUGCAGAGGAAACAACGGAGGUUCAUGCGAUUGAAGGUCCUCCACCUUUAAAUUGGGUUCUUCAAAAAAUUCAAGAUUUCAACAAGCUGGUUGGUGUGUCCUGCGAUGGAUAUGAAAGUAGACUGUUACAAUUAUUCGUAGAGUUGGAGGCCAGUAGGGGACAAGGGAUGAGUAUACCAGGCGGUAAAACAAGAAGAAAAGGUGACUGUGAACUUAAGCGGCUUGAAUGGUUAGUAAAUUAUGGUGACAAGGGUGCCGAGUCAAAGAAAGGAUUGCUUGGGAGGGAUGUCAAAGUGUUAAGAUGAUGCCAAAAAUAAUUAGUUAGAACGUAAGGGGGCUUAAUGUAGCGGAGAAAAGAUUAGGGGUUCAAAAUCUGCUAAGGGGAUGGAGGGCGGAUUUAGUCUGUUUACAAGAAACUAAGUUGGAGUCCGUCUCAAGGGCUAUUGUGAGCAGUUUAUGGGGGGAACAGUAUGUUGGGUAUCAAUAUAAGGGAUCAUCAGGAGCGUCAUGAGGUGUGUUAGUCCUGUGAGACAUGAGAACUCUUGAUAUGGAGGAGGCUAGUGAAGGACUAUUUUCUUUAUCGCUUUCGUUCAGAAAUGUUGGGGAUGUAUUUCAUUGGACGUUUAUAGGAGUGUAUGGGCCUAAUGAUGACGAGAGUAAAAGUGGAUUGUGGGAUGAAUUGGCGAGGAUGAUGGCUUGGUGGAACAUUCCAACUUGUCUUGGCGGUGACUUUAAUGUGACUCGAUUUCCUACUGAGAGAUCAAGUGGUGGGAGAUUAACAAAGGCAAUGGAGGAGUUCUUAGAUUUUAUCAGGGAAAAUAUGUUGGUGGACUUGCCUUUGAUUGGAGGAGACUUUACUUGGUCUUCUAAUUGGGAGCAGCCUAUUUUAUCGCGAAUAGACCGGUUCCUGAUUAGUGGGGAAUGGGAGGAGAAGUAUCCAGAGGUUACCCAGAGAAGAUUAGGGAGGGUGUAUUCUGAUCACUUCCCUAUCUUACUGGCUGGGAAUGCGAGGUGUAGUGUGAGAAGACCUUUUAGGUUUGAGAAGAUGUGGCUAAAAGUAGAAGGCUUUAGAGAGCGUGUACGGGACUGGUGGGCAUCUUACAAUUUCGGGGGUCCCCCAGUUAUGUGUUCAAUCAAAAAUUGAAAGCCUUAAGGAGGGAUAUAAAGAGGUGGAAUGAGGAGGUGGCGAGAGAUGUAAACUGGCGUAAAAACCAAUGUAUGUUAGAUAUAGAAGAGCUGGAUAAGAGGGAGGAGAGUCAAGGAUUGGUAGGGGAUGAAAGGGAGAGACGUGGAGAAUUAAGGGGAGAGUUGGAGAGGUUAGUGGAGAUGGAGGAAAUAGCCUGGCGUCAGAAAUCUAGGGUCAAGUGGUUGAAGGAGGGUGAUAAAUGUACCAAUUUUUCCAUAGAGUUGACAAUUCUAACAAGCGUAACAAUUCUAUCACCAUGCUGGUGGUAGACAGAGUUACUUAUGAAGAUCCACAAGAUAUUGGGACCCAAAUGGUGAAUUUCUAUCAAAACUUGUAUCGUGAGCAGUUUGAUUGGAGGAUAGAGUUGGAGGAGUUAGAUUUCUCUACUAUUACUGAGGAGGAUGCAAUUUGGUUAGAGAGACCAUUUGAGGAGAAUGAGAUUAAGGAGGUGGUGUUCAACAUGAAUGAUGAUAAAGCACCAGGGCCGGACGGAUUCUCACUCUCAUUUUAUAAGGUUUGUUGGGAAGUGGUACGAUCGGAUAUUGUGGAUGUUCUUACUUAUUUCUUUUAGUGUGGCAAGUUCUUGAGAAGCUCUAAUGCUACAUUUAUUGUGCUGAUUCCAAAAAAAUCGGGAGCAUCAGAUAUUAAAGAUUUUCGUCCGAUCAACUUAGUUAAUGGGAUGUACAAGAUUAUUGCAAAGCUGCUGGCUAAUAGAUUAAAGGAGGUGUUGGAAAAGGUGGUGUCUAAAUUUCAGAAUGCAUUCGUCAAAGGGUGUAAGAUAUUGGAUUCUGUACUUAUAGCAAAUGAAUGCAUUGACUCGAGAUUGCGUAGAGGGAUUCCAGGGAUGUUAUGUAAACUUGAUAUUCAGAAAGCCUAUGAUCACGUAAACUGGGGAUCCUUUUGUAUAUGCUCAGGUGAUGUGGCUUUGGGGACAAGUGGUGCUGUUGGAUUCACUUUUGUAUAUCUACGGUCUUGUAUUCGGUUUUGGUAAAUGGCAUUCCUAAGGGUUAUUUCCAGAGUAGUAGAGGUUUGCGGCAAGGGGAUCUGUUGUCUCCAUUAUUGUUUGUCAUUGUCAUGGAGGCUUUAAGUGGGAUGAUUGAGAAAGCUGUGGGAGAAACUCUGUUGAAGGGCUUUAUGAUUAACUAGUUGUAGGUAUCUCAUUUGCUAUUUGCAGACGAUACAUUGAUCUUUUGUGAUGCAGAGGCUGAGCAAUUUAGGAACUUGCGCCGUCUGUUACUAUGCUUUGAAGCUGUAUCUGGAUUGAAAAUUAAUUUGGGGAAAUCUGAGGCCAUCACAGUUGGAGAUGUUGCUAAUGUGAUGGAGUUAGCGGCCAUAUUGGGCUGUUGGACCGUGCAACUACCUAUGUCCUAUCUUGGGCUCCCCUUAGGAGCACGGUUUAAAAACAUACACAUUUGGAAUGGUAUUGUGGAAAGAGUGGAGAAGAAGUUAGCGGGUUGGAAGCGUAUGUACCUCUCAAAGGGAGGCUGUCUUACACUCAUUAAGUCCACUUUAUCGAAUCUACCCACUUCUUGUCAUUGUUUCCUAUCCCUGUUACCGUGGCAAAAAGAUUAGAGAGGAUUCAAAGGAAGUUUUUUUGGGGAGGUUUAGGGGAGGAGAGGAAACUUCACCUGAUUAACUGGGCGUAGUAUGUGCUCCCAUAAAAACGGGGGGCCUUGGAUUGAGGAGUCUUGUAUUGUUUGGUAAGGCCUUGCUGGGUAAGUGGUUGUGGCGAUUCGGUGUGGAGAGGGAAAGUUUUUGGAGAGAGAUUAUAGAGGCGAAAUAUGGUGUUCUAGAGGGGGGAUGGUGCUCAACCAAGAAUCGUGGUUCUUAUUGGGUGAGUUUGUGGAAGUAUAUACAACGAGGGUGGAGAGAAUUUCAGGAUAGAUUGACGUAUGAGGUGGGGAAUGGCAAUACUAUCAGAUUCUGGAAUGAUUGUUGGUGUACAGAUCGGCCAUUAAGAGCAGAGUAUCCUUCCCUGUAUCGUAUUACUUUGAUGCCGCAGGCUAUGGUACAUGAAGUCUUACAGGUGCAUAAUGGGAAUCCCAGCUGGAACAUUGUUUUUGUGAGGGGUCCACAGGAUUGAGAAUUAGAUGAUUAUGUACUACUCCUGACUUCUUUGUAUGAGGUGCAUGUCAGAGUGGGGCGAAAGUGAUCGUAGCAGGUGGAGGUUGGCACGCGAUGACAUUUUCUCAGUGAGCUCUUAUUUUAGAUCUUUAUUGGAACCUGAGGAGACUUCAUUCCCAUGGAAGAAGGUAUGGCGUUGUAAAUUACUCCCUCGGCUGGCAUUUUUCCUAUGGACGGUUGUGAAGGGACAGGUGUUAACGGUGGAUAACCUCCGAUGCAGGGAUUUUUAUGUUACGGAAUGGUGCUAUAUGUGUCGAAUGAAUGGAGAGACGAUUGACCAUUUGUUCAUUCAUUGCGACGAUGCUCGCACCCUAUGGAACGAUAUUUUGGUUUCUCAACACAUGGAUUGGGUGUUUCCACAGCGUAUGGAGGAUGUUUUGAAGGCAUGAGGGAGAAGAUUUCGUAAUAAAGAUAGCAAGAUUGUUUGGGACCUUGUCCCAGGAUGCAUCAUCUAGUGUAUUUGGAGGGAGAGAAAUAGUCGCUGUUUCGACAAUAAUACACGGACAACAAAGCAGAUUAAAGAAUUAUUUUACCUGACACUGUAUAUUUGGUUUAAUGCUGUGGCUAUUACUCGCAUAGACAGGUUGCCUAAUUUCAUGUCGUUUUUGUCUUGUAUUAAUUGAUAAUACACUUUCUAUGUAUUAUCCAUGAUUAAUAAAAUAUUUGAUUACUUAUUAAAAAAAAUAAUAAUAAAGAUUCUUUUGUUCCACUUUUGUGGGUUUAUUAUCAUGAGUUGUUGAAAUACUGAAAGAAACCAUUUUCUCUGUCAAACGUUUUGAUUUUGUUACUUGUCUUUUCUCCUUCAAACAUAUCAAUAAAUGUUAGAAGUGCUAGAGUUUGAAAAUCCCAAGAUCCAAGAUGUUCGAGUCAGGAUGCUAUUCUUAGUUCUUGCAAACGGGGAUCAAAGAAUUCUUUUACAUAUACCAAAUACCCUUUAACAACAAAUGUGGCAUGAUGAUAACGGUCUAAUUAUAAAUUGAAUAUAUACCAAAUUUUUUUGUGGUUCUAAAAAGACAUUGAUAACAUUUCCAGAAUUAGCAAAUAAAAAGGAUAGAUUAAUUCAUAGUAAGUGAGUGGGGAAUAAAUUGUAGAAAGAAGCCCUUCAAUUAAGCACUCCAUAAAUUCUAUAUUAGUCAUUCUUUUCAGCCCACCCCGUCAUGAAGUUUUGUUCUAGUUGACAAAAUUGCUUGGGAAGUCCUUCUAGUGUUCCUAAAACACCCUUCAAAAUAUUUUAUUGUUUGGACCAUACAGAGAAAUUUAAGUAUAAAAAAAUGUAUUAAUUGAAAAUCACGUGAAGAGAUGCUAUAUCUAUUUUUUGGUCUUAAUAUUUGACCUUAUACUUCUAAUAUCAGUUUAUAUAAGCAUAAGGAACUUAUGAGCCUACUCCAGAUUAUGUAAUUACCUUCCAUUACCUUUUUAGUUGUGGUAUUAUGAAGCAAUGUUGUUAACAAAAUUAUAGGGGUGGGAAAUAUUAAUUUAGGGCAUGAAGAAAGUUGAUACAUAUAUGAUACAAAAUUAUUCGACCUUUUAUUUUCCUAUUGGAACAUUUUUGUCAACAACAAUUCAUAAUCUUCUCAAGAAUCAACCGUAAAUCUUGAGUGAAAAAAUCCUGCUUAAACCAUUAAGAAUUUGAGAGUUGCCGCUGUAUAGAAAAUAUGUUUUGCUUAAUAAUCCUGCAUUGUAGAGCAAUGCUAGUAUAGGAAGGCAUAUAAUAAAGAUUUUGUCUAAUUCUUGUGUGUUUGUGAUACUCUAAGCCUGCGCUAGAUUUUAUCUAAUUCUUCUAUGAAUAUUGGGUUAUAAUUUCAUGAGUAAGCGUCUGAGGGAUAUGGGGAUUUGUAAAUAUUGAGCAAGUUUAGUUAAGAUUUGAAUCAAGCAAGAGCUAGACGUCAUACUGGCUCCACCCCUCCCAUAUUGUUAUCAUAGAAAAAGAUGGGAGCUCAGGGAAUUUAAUUUCAGGGAAGUUCGUAUGAAGAACACUACUGCAUUAGCUAUUCACAGGACACAAGCAUGCUAGAAAUAUCAUUACUGAAUGUCCUGUGGACUUAUCACCUGAUUAUAGCUCACAUCAGAUGGUGGUUUCCAGUGGGAGAACUGAAAUAAAUUAUUAUUAUUAUUUUCAGUUAUUUAUUAGAAUUUUUUAUCAAUGCGAAAUGGAUUUUACCAGCUUUCCAUGCAUAUCAUUGUACUGUUCCCAACUUUUGCUUAAAAUCUUCCCUAACCUUUACUUUCAUAGUCUUUAAGCCUUGAAUCCUGUUUGACUUGCCACUUUAUAACUCAUCUUCAUAUUACUUUUUGACAUUUCAGAGGACACGCAAAAAUUUUAUUCAUCAAUUAGAAUAUAGAGUCGAAUACUUCUAUCUACAAAGUAAUUUUACCCCUUGGUCUGUCUGAUUUCUACAAGGUGUACGGUAUCGUGAACAAGUAAUAAAGUGGAGUAAAAUAUUGUCUCACGAGGACUACGUACUUAAACUAGAUUCAAUUAAUCCUAACGUUAAUCAAAUAGCUAAUUGUGUUUGAAUGAUUUUAUACUAAAUUAUCUAAUUAAACUAAUUAUUCUAGUGAGCAGUUUAUCAAACGUUUGUAAAUAUAGAUUAGAUGAUACUAGAUUUCGAAUCCCCCGCAUUAAUUUGUUUUAAUACAAUUCAAUAACAAGACAAUAUGAGCAUAUUUUUGUUGAUUUAUGUUCCCAAGUUAAUUAAAAGCAUCUCUUGAUAUCAAUUAAAUCUAUCAUCUCAUGUGAUCUUCCUAUAUCUCUAUGAAAUGUGCGAACAUGAAAGCAUGCUUUAAAAAUAUUAGAACAUCUAUAGAAAUCAUGCAAAAUAUAGCAGUAUAUCUCUAUUCCAUAUUGGAUUUUACAAUGAUUUUUAUAAUGUGCUUCCUAUCCUAUUAUUUCUCUCGAAAUCAAUAAAAUUCAUAAACAAUUCAUUUAGUGAUCAAGUAAUUGACAAGUCAUUAAAACCUAUAACAAUCAUCCAAGAAUAAACACAUAUUGUGCUUCAAAUUAUUGAAUUUAUAUGAAAACAUCGUAACAAAGGUUCAUCUACAUCUUAUUAAUUGAAAAUCUGGCCUAAUAUUAGAAAAUUACAAGAAAACAUGUUUAAUUGGAAGAACAGAACUUGGAUUUUAGAUUGAUAAAGGAGAAGAAAAUAGGUCUCGAAAUCUUGAAUCUCUUCAAUGGUUUCUUGAUGAAUCUUUAAUAUAUUUUCUGGUUGUCACUCCAAAAAUAAUGGUUGAAACUCCAAUUUCUUGAAAAUUGUAAUUGCUCUUUAAUUCUCACAAGAACAAUGGAUUGGCCUCUCUUUCAUGAUGUUAAUUGAUGAAUUUAUGUGUAUGAGACAUGCAUGAGAGGUAUCUCUAAUAUGUAUUCUAUUGUUAAGUAUUUAUAGGAGUUGAAAUUUGGUUGAAAAUCAUACCCAAUUUGGUUUCCAAAAGAAUUACAAUCGAAUAAGGGAAGUUGCCUUCGCGCAUGUAUGUUUUUCUCUUCACAGCAUUUAAUAUUUUUGUCAUAACAUUCUCUUUUGAUAUCUCAUUGAGGCGAUUCAAAGUGUAGUGAAAAUCUAAUUCAAAGGGCUACAACUUUUCUAGAAAUAGAAUUUUUCUAAUUCGAAUGUUUAAUAUGUCAAAAAUUGGUCUCAAUCUUCGACUAAGUCUGGAAUAUAAUUUGUGUGAUUGAAAAUUGAUUUGUGAUACUACUUUGAUCAUAUUUUAUUUUUUUGACUUCUAUCCAGCUUGAGCGGCCCACGCGUUAGUUCUGUUGAGGCUCGGGCCAAACCUCAUCUUCAACUGUUGGCCCAAGAUGAGCUGGCCCGUGGCAGCUUCGCUAACAUGGGUUAAAAUGGCCCGUGACUUGAAAAUAAAACAAAGGCAGCUAUGUAGCUCAAUUCUUUCAAGAUUUAGGCCAAGCCGGCCCGUGGCUUGAAAGUAAAACAAAGGCAGUUACAAUUGCCUUUAAAUUUAAAGGUAGCUGUAGUUGCCUUUAAAAUCGAAAAAAAUUUAGAAUUUCAGAAAAAAUGAGACGAGCCGACUCUGAAAGGCCCGAGUCGAGCUCCGUUUUUCUGUCAAGUUGUGCCCAAACUGCGAUCUUCGGCUCAAUAGCUGGCUCAUUCACACCUCCACUUCUAAUUAUGUCCAAUUGACUCCUAGCAAUCUCAAGUAUUGUCUUGUGGUCCGAAUAAACUAUUGGAUAUUUGCAAUUUGGUCCUCAAACUUUGGACUUCGCCCUUUUUUGCCAUUUUUUGUUCCUUUCUUCUGAUUUCAUGUCCAAUCAUCGAGUUUCUCCUAAUAAAUGAAAUAUACUCAAUAUUGGGCUAUAAUUUAUCAAAAGAACAACGAAAUGUCAAUAUUUUAAAGUCCAAAUAAGUGUAUAUAACACAUCUAUCACCCUUCAAUUAAUUCAUACAAAAAAUAAUAAAAAUAAAACAGAAAAGGGAUUCUCAGUUUUUCCAUAUAAUGUGUGAUAUUUACAAAUAAAAAUUUAGACAUCAACAAACAUGUUAAAAGAUUUAUAGGUGCUAACCUACAAUGUUCUCCUAAGAUUUGAGAAAGAUUUACAUGUGCAUACAUUUAUGGUCCCGUUUUCAAUUUAAACUCCAGUCUUGCAAAAGCUCAUUGUGAUGCGGACAUCUGCCAAAAUUAUUUUACUUAUUGUUUUAUUUAUUGAUGUCUUUUUAUUUCAUUGGGCUUGUCUAGUGGGUCUAGCCCAAGCCUGUGAAUACUAGGUUUUUUUUGUUAUUUAUAUGUUGGUAACUGGAAUUGCAAGACACUUUUGAUGAAUAUGAAUUAUUGAGAUUGGUUGUGGCGUCUCAUUCUUCUCCCUUCCCCUUCCCCUUAAACUUCUGCUUCUUGUCUGGUUUCUUCCUCCCAUUCUCUCAGGUUUCUCCCUCCCUUUUUGCUUCUUCUUUCUAUUCUUUAAUUCGUCAUGCAUCAAACUUGGUAUCAGAGCUAAACUUGGGUAAUAUUUCCUCAUCCAAUCUAUACAUACAACCAGUAUAUCCAUCACCUGCUGCUGCAACUCCCUUUUCCAGUUGACCAGUGUUGUUAAAGAAACCACCACAUCCUCCCAUAACCGCCAACUGCCCGAAAUUUACUCAACACGUGGAACUUCCUCCACCAAUUACGACCCCCACCAAAUAAUUCCAACAAACACGACCACCUCACAAGCCAAACCUCCCACUUCAACAUAGGCUAUAGCAUAACCGCCUGCAACUUUUAAUUAACCGACCUUUUUUUCCACAAUAACAGCCCACUAUCAAUGGACCCAUAAACCACAAAACCAGACACCACCGCCUUCACCUCUCCAACCGACAUACAGUACAUCGAUAACCUGUACUUCCCAAACCACACCAAUCGACAGCCGCUGCUCACGUCUUCAGCCAAUCACUGCCCACAUAUAAAUCGCUACACUCAAGUAACCGCAAUCCGUCUCCAAGCACUUGCCACCACAUAAUAGCGAUGCCACCAUAGUUUCUCCUCUAAUACUCAAAGGCACAGAUGCUUCGACCUUCAAACUCGCCACCACAAAAGCAAUCAAAUUGUUGAUUGGAUCCUUUUCUUGACCUUAAUCCCCUUUGGGUCUUUGCUUUUACUUUGUUAUUUUGGGCCUUAAUUAAUGCCUAAUUGGUCUCAGUUUUAUGCCCUUAUGUAUGUUAUUUUAAGGGUUUUUAUUUGAUAAUUAAGGGAAAAAAAAGAGAGAAAAAAAAGGACAGAAAAGGGAAGGAAAAAAAAGGGGAGAGAGAAAAAAGACAGAAAAGAGAAAGGGAAAAAAAAAAGGAGAGAAAAAAAAAGAAAUUUCCAUCAUUAUUUAUAGGUGAUCUUUUAAUUAUGUUGAUUGACAGCUUUGCGACCAUAGCCUAUGCCAAUUUGAAAAUUGUGAUUGGAGCAUUGUUUGACUCUUGCAAGUCCCUUGAGGUAACAAUUUUAUUAUAUAUAUGCUUUUAUUUUAGUGUUUUAGCUUGUCAAUAAAAAAAAUGCUUUGGCGUGAAUAUUAAACAUUAGGAGUCCACUUGUUGACAAAUGGACGAAAAUUUCUUCAAUUUUCAUUGCCUUCUAACAAACUCCUAUCGUUACUUGAGCACACAUAUCUCACGAGCACAUCAUCAAUUUGUAUGCUACGGUUAGGAUACUAGAUACCAUGGCUAAUGCGAAAUAUUGCCUUAUAAUGUUGGACCUAAAUUGUGAACGUACUAUAAUUGACAUGUUCCAACACUUUCUUGUAGUUCUAAAAGGAAAUCAUUUAGGGAAUGUCUUCACUUCCAUUGACUAUCAUGACCUUUACAUUAGAAGAAAGUGACAAUCUAGGAAGCACCGACACACUGUCGGCGUAGACGUAUCGGUGUCCGAUACGUGUCAGACACCGGCAUGUCUCCGACACGUCGUGGACGCGUGCCGGAGGUCCUUACCGCGUGUCAGUUAUGAAGAAAUGCAAAUGGCUAGAAGAAAAACAGUAAGCAAAACAGAAGGGAGGAAGAAAUGAGAAGAGGUGUGUGCCGGCUGCUAUGCUGAUGAAGAAGAAAUGCAUGGAUGGCUGGAAGAAAGGAACGCCCGAGGUGAGGAGGAAGAAGCAAUGAAGAGAAAACAUGUGAGAAAGAAAUGAAGCGACGGAGAAAAGAAAGAAACAUUAAAUGCUCUGUCAAACAAUAUCUGUUUGGUUUGCAUAAAUCUAUUUUUUAUUUUUAUUUUUUGAGGAAUUAAUAUAAAAUGCCUGCAGAAUUCUUACAUGCCAAGAAGGUUGAUUGAAUCAUCAACAAUCCACUAAAAUAUAUAUGUCCAAUUUUGUCCUCUCCAUGGCGAAUAAAUUUGACAAAAUUAUCCUUCGUGUAAUUCACCUUGACAUUUUUUCAAAAGUAAUAUAAAGGGUAAAAAGGAAAUAAUAAAAUGAGCCUAUGCCAUAGGGUUUGAAAAGUUACCGUGUUCUGGCAAAAAAAAGGGGGAAAAUAGUGUACUUUUGGGUCCACUAUUUUGAAAAUGAGAAUGAGAUUUUUUACAAUGGCACUUUUUACCAUUUAACAAAGUAAAAGAUAGAUUUUACACGGAUGAAGUUUUCUACAAUUUAAUUUACUAUUUUACAUCAUGCAAUAAGUAUUAAAAAAAAUUACUACGUUAAACUAUUAAAUUAAAAUUUUUUAUAAAAAAUAAUAUUUUAAUCAACGUGUCGACAACGUAUCGUGUCGGAACUUUUUCAAAAAAUUACGUGUGAACGUGUCGGACACGUAUCGUGUUGGACACUCGUAUCCGUGUCGGUGCUUCUUAGGUGACAAUAUUUCUCUAGAUUUGAUUACCUAUCUUUUGAGUAGUGUUCAAAAUAAACACAAAGAUUUUUCUCCUAUUGUACUUAGCGUGCUGGAAAGACUUUUUGAAAAGUGCGCUAACACAAUCAAACCUUACUUAUCAGAAGCUAUAAAAACAUUCGGGAUUUUUUUAGAUGAUUAUAGUGCAAUUCUUUCCUCCAUUUUCAAAGAAGUCGAAAGUUGUGAACAAUGUAUCGUGUCCUCUAUUUUGACCACACCUAUAGCCGAAACUCUUAACAUUGACAUAAUUGAGAAAGUACCUAAAAUAAUGUCAUCCAAGUCAAAUAUUUCAAAUGUCCUAGAUUUUGUGCCUACUAUGUUGCAUGACUUUAAUGUUGAAUUUGUUUUAGUUCUUCCUCAAUUACAUGAGACUCCACGGGUUGUCACAUUGUUUUCUAAGGUCAUUACUUGAUUGCACACUCUUCCUAUUGACAUUAGGAUGUUGCCCACUAAUUAUCGACACUCAGUGCUAGCUCAUCAUUAUGUUGGUAAUUUUCCUAAAUUUCAUGCCAAGCUAAAAGGUCAAAUCAUUUUCAAUCAUGAAAUUUUUGAAUUUACUUUCGAUCUACAAUAUAAAUUAGAACGCUCUACUGAGGAAUAUUAUACUUUAUUAAGAGUCUCUUUGACCCACUUUCCCAAAAAUGUGAAGAAAAGCUUUUUGGACCACUCGUAUAAAGGUUUUCCUAAUCAGGGCUCAUUUGAGCCUUCGAUGUUGCAAUCUUUUAUCUCUACAGGCCAGCCUUCGGUGCUAAUUUCUCAUGCUCCUCAUUAUGUACAAUCACGUGAAGAUUUUGGAGUUGAGUUGCAUGAGCGUUUACUAUUUGGAGAUCAAUAUCGGUAUUUGAUUAAAAAGAGAGAUCAUCCUCCUUGGGUGGAUCAUAGCUUUGAGGAUAAGCUACAGCUUUGAUUGUUAUUAACUGUUGAAUUUCGAUAUUUGGGUCAUCAAAAAGAUCGUCCCUCGUGGUAUUUCAACCACUCGAUAGGAUCUAGUUUUUCUCCCAUCUCGGAAGAGUUGAUGCGGACAUCGGUCCAAAUUAAUUUACUUAUUGUUUUAUUUAUUGAUGUCUUUUUAUUUCAUUGGGCUUGUCUAGUGGGUCUAGCCCAAGCUCGUGAAUACUAGGUUUCUUUUGUUAUUUAUAUGUUGGUAACUGGAAUUGCAAGAUAGUUCUGAUGAAUAUGAAUUAUUGAGAUUGGUUGUGGCGUUUCCUUCUUCUCCCUUUCCCUUUUCUUCUCCGGUUUCCUCCUCCCAUUCUCUCCGGCUUCUCCUUCCCUUCUUGCUUCUACUUUCUAUUUUUUAAUUCGUCUUGCAUCACAUUGACUUUUACAUCGUCAAAAUACAAGUAUGACAGCAUUGUCUAUAUUCGAUGAGUGUUUUUAGUGGGGUUAUUUGAUGAAUAAAUCCGAACUCUUCUUGUCCUGUGAUAUUUAUGCAACUGUUUUUCAAGAAGUAAGUGGUGCCUCUUGACCUCUUCUAUUCUGCCAUCACCCUUGCUAGAUAUACAGGAUUUGGUGAGAAGAAACAUUCAAUGUCAGAAUUAAAGUAGAAAUUGAAAUUAGAAAGGAAACUAAAUCCCCAUCUGAAUGCAGAAAUGACAAGUCUAAAUUCUGUUUAUCAAUGAUCUGAACAAAAUCGCAUGUACAAAAUUGGAAAAUUGCUAGUUAAAGGAAAUUCUAUAAUUUAUCGAUGAACUACUAUAUUAUAGAACUUAAGAUUAUUUCAAAAUCGUGUAAUAGAUCUCAAACCUCCUUUUUCCAGUUUAUGUGUAGACAUGCAGGUUGGCCCCAUUGAUUUUAACUACAUCUUAAUUUAUUAUUUAUGCAGGGGCACUGUUGUUUUUUGCUUUGCUGGCCGUAUCUGGUUGCUUCAUAAUGUGUAAUAACGAAAACGUGUUCAACAAUCUAGAUCAACAAUGUCAAGAAUCUUGCCUGUGUUGUUGUGACCAUGGGUAUAGUGUCUCUUUUAUGACUCAUGAUAUCUCUGGUAUCGUAUUGGAAAUACUCUUCCCCACGAAAUAUAGCCCCUAUUUGGUGGGGUUAAAAUUAUAUUUUUAGUGGAUUUUGAUAAGAGUUGAUGAAAUGUGUAGUUGAAGAAUUUAAUAGUACCAAACAAGGGCAUAAUAAUAUUGUUGCCAUUGCAUUGUACAGUCAGUUGUUCCCACGGUAUUGAUUUUGUCUCAUCCUUGCAGUAUCUGGAGAGUUCAUUUACAUCUCCUUUUCUAACUGCAAAGUAAAAUGUUUCCUUUUUUGGUCAAUGUUUCGAUGAAAUCGAACCACCUCCUACCAUAUUAACUAUUUAUCUCUCAUUAAUGGAUGAAUCUUUGAACGUCAAGCGUGACAAAUGCUAUUUUUUUUCACCGUCGGAAAAACUGACAUAAUGACUGUUGAUUUAAGCAUUUUGACCUAGAUUUUGCUGAGCUAGAAAGGCUAAAUAGGGUAUUGAGAUGUUUUUACCCAUGUGAGGUGCGACUUACGCCUCAAACUAAUGAAACAGGUGAC
rnacentral:lncRNA from 1 species